UUAGAAUCAAUCAUUAACUAUAACUUUGAAAACAUUUAUAGCUAAUGGACUACAAUCGAUAUCCCUAUGAUUAACAACACACCAAAAUUACACAUGAGUAAAUAAAUAAGUAUGUGAUUGAUAUACAUAGGUCUAGUCAGACUCGAACUGGUAGAUGUACGCAUAAGUACAUUAAUAUAAUCAUCCUCCAAACUUACCGAGUAUCAAUGAAUUAUCAUACUUAUCCUUUGACCUUUUCAGGUAUCAACAUCAUCGCAAUAUUCUUUGGUCUUGUCGGGUACCAUCAUAUCAAUUCAAUAUCCUCUGGCCUUGUUGGAUAUUAAUAUAUCAUCAUAACCUUCUCUACCCAUAUCGAGUAUCAAUAUAUGGCCAUAAUCAUAUACCUUGGCAACAUCCAUAACAUAAGCAUUUGUAUAAUGAUCAUGAUUUCAAGAAUAAUUAGUAAUAUAACUUCCCAUAAAAUCAAUAUGCAUGAGUUCUAAUAAUAAUUUAUGGCAUCAUUACUAAAAUCGUCAUAAGGAAUGUUUUAAAGUAUGAUUUAUAGCAUAAUUACUUAGUAUAAUCAAUAUGAUAAGCAAUAUCAUGAGCGAUGACCCAGUAGUAGUAUACUCAAUGAUCUAUCAUUAGCAAAAGACAGACUAUCAAUAACUUGAGCAAUAGCUAAUACAUGGUAUGACCCAUAGUUUAUUCAUAGCAUAGUCAAUAUUAUAAUUUAUGGCUUAUAAUUACUGAUGCUGAAAUAAAGUUCUAAUAAUGCAAGAAUGCAAUUUAGACAUGCUGAAAUUUUACUUGUUUUAUGCAAAAAUAUUUUUACAUGCUGAAAUUAAUAUUAGCAUACUAAAAAUACAUGAACUCUAUUGUUUUGACAAGCUGAAAAUGCGCAGAAUUCAUGUUUAUAAGCAGGAAAUUCAAUUAAACAUGUUGGAACUCGUAUUCUAAUAGUGUAGACAUGCUGGACAUUAACUGAUUUAUGUAAGAAUAGAAUUUUUAGCAUGCAAGACAUAAAUUAUCUUAUGUGAAAACAUAGUUCUAAACAAGUUGAGCUGAAUUCAUUUAUUUGUAAUACAGAAAUUAUUAAACAUGUGGGAAUUGUCUUUAGACAUACUGAAUAAUGUUAAGGCGUAGUAUUCUCAUGUUGAUAAGCUGAAAACAUGCCAAGACUGUCUAAUGUCUAAUAUUUUAACAUGCUGAAAAUUAGAGAAAUAGUAAUUUAACAUGCUGCGCAUUAGUUGUCAACGCCUAAAAAUGCAAUUUGAAUAUCCUAGAAUGCAAUUGAACAUGCAGGAAAAUUAAUUUUAAAAUGCUGAAAUUCAAUAUUAACGUGCUCAAAUUUAUUUUAAUAUGCCUAAAUGGAAGUUAACACGCCUAAACAUGCAAAGACAUAUUACAUAAGUUGUGCUUCACAUGCGAAAAAUCAACGUAGUAGCCUAACGUCUUUAUCAUGCCUUAAUUCAAUGUGGGCAUGUUAAGAAGGUAUUAGCAUGCUUACAUUUUAUUUUAAUGCGUCAGAUAUUAAAGAAACUUAAGCAAUAUUUGAAAGCGUCUAGAUGAUUCAUAUAACACGUAUUGCAUAUAAACCUAAGUUGUGCCUAUCUAUACCGUUCAUAGAGCACGUAAGUUCCCGCCCCCCACCCCCCUGAAGCACUCCCCCAGAUUUAUUAUUACAUCAAUAACAAAAGUAUCUUUACAAAUAUUACAAACCAAAUAAUACGACAAAUAAGAAAAAAGAAAAACAACUAGCUAUGAAUAAUAACAUAGUCAAUUUCAUCAUCCCGGCGACUCUUAGGAACCCCCUCCCAAUAACACCUGUCGAAUGUAAUAGAAGAACAAUGCAAGCACGGGACAAACACACACAUGGUCUAGCAUAUUGAAACGAUCGAACAAGGCACAGCAUAUAAGCAGUAAGCAAUUGUUUAAACUAAUCCUAUAGACAUGCUUUCUAGUAUGUAAAUACAUUGAUGGGGGACUUACCAGUGCACAGCAGUAAACAAGAUAAUAAGAAUAAAAGAAAACCAAGCACAGCAAAAUACGCAAGAUGUUUUUCGUAAACCUUAAAGAUAAAUCGAAGAACCCUCAAAGUAUAGAAUUGCCUUGUAUUAAAAUAGCUUAUGUUUUUAUUUUUUGAGAAAAGAGUAAUUUGUAGUUGUAGAGCUGUCUGUUAAAGAAAAGAAAUAGCAGAUGUUUUAUUUAAGAGAGUAGUAAUUGUAAUUGUAAUUGUAAUUAUUGGAACCUGUCUGUUAAUGAAAAGGGAAGGGUUUAUAUAGUGAGGGGACGCGUAACUAAGGUGGGGAAAAUAUCCCUAAGCUCAUUAAGAAUAUUUCCUUUCCUUAUUCAACUAGGAUGGUCCCCAAAAAGUAUCAAUUAAUUGAGAAUGUAAAAGGUCAUUCAGAAGAACAAAAAAGGAAAGAAGGUUGGACACCAUCAAUUAUUGAAAUUAUCGAUGGUUAUUGGGCAAACUUCAAUCAAGACUCAGAGAAAUUUCCUUUUCAUAACUGUUAAUGGAACGUCGUAACUAACGGUAUAUAACAUUCAAUCAAGAAGAGAAGAAUAUUCAAAGCAACCAUUCAAUCCACAAAGUUUUCCUUAAAUAAGAGAUUACAUCAAUCAAAGCAAAUAAGGGCAAAGGAAUAGCAAAUGAUUUUCCCUUAAUCAGGCUACUUGAAUCGAUUAGGAUCAAUCCUAAAUAUUUCAAUUAGACUAACAUUCCAAUCUAAUCAAAUAUUUGAGUCGAUUGGUAGGUAAGUAAUGGCAUGUUAGCCAAUAAGAACUUUCAAUCAGACAAUAGGCAAGCACAUAUAUACUGAAAUUCAUAUUGGGGUCAAGAUCAAGCACAUGCAAUAGUUGGGCAUUUUCACAUAUGUUGAUUACAAGAUAUAGGAAAGCACGAAACUUGAAGAAUCAUGUUAAAACAACUAAUAAUGUUUCAUGAAUUUCACAUCUAAAAUCAGGCAAAGCACCUAAAAAAAUUAGAAAAAGAGAAUUCAAACCGUUAAGAGGGACCAAUAUGAAAAUACUUGUAUUAUUUUACCACAUUCCUCAGAAACUCAUAGUUUGGCAUCCGUUUAGUCCUUUUGUUGUUGUUGAAGCGUAGGGUACGAAGAGGAGGAGGAGGAAGGCGGCUGUUGUCCGACGCCGGUGGGAAUAGUGGCCGUCGGAGAUGGAUGAAGCGGCUGGAUGGCGGCAAUUUGGUGGUGAAGAGAAGAACGGAGGGGGCUCAGAGGCGGUGAGGUCGCGAUGGUAGCGAUGCUGGUUUGCUGGUUAGAUUUUCACCGAUGAUGGCAACGGCGGGUCGUGGCGGGCGAGGGCUGUUGAUGGCGAUGGCGGUGUGGUGGCGUUGGUCGCCGGUGGAUGAAAUGCUCGCCGGCGUCAGCUAUGGAUGCCGAUUGAGAGGAGAGGAAAGGGGUAGAGAGAGAAGGAAGAGAGAGAAAGUGCUUGACCGGCUAUGUUUGGUUUUUGACUUAGGGUUAGGGUUCAUUUGGUUUUUAAUAAGGAAAGAUGAUAGAUUAAAUAUCAGCCGUUAGAUCAAUUUUUAUCAAUGGUUGGGAUUUUGAGACUACGUGGAGUUAGAAUGUGGCUAGGAUUGUAAGAAAUUAGGCUA
rnacentral:lncRNA from 1 species